GACGAACGCUGGCGGCGUGCUUAACACAUGCAAGUCGAACGGAAAGGCUCCAGCUUGCUGGCGUACUCGAGUGGCGAACGGGUGAGUAACACGUGGGUAAUCUGCCCUGCACUCUGGGAUAAGCCUGGGAAACUGGGUCUAAUACUGGAUAUGACCUUUCUCCUUAUGGGGUUUGGUGGAAAGUUUUUCGGUGUAGGAUGAGCCCGCGGCCUAUCCGCUUGGUGGUGGGGUGAUGGCCUACCAAGGCGACGACGGGUAGCCGGCCUGGGGGGGUGAUCGGCCACAUUGGAACUGAGAUACGGCCCAGACUCCUACGGGAGGCAGCAGUGGGGAAUAUUGCACAAUGGGCGGAAGCCUGAUGCAGCGACGCCGCGUGAGGGAUGACGGCCUUCGGGUUGUAAACCUCUUUCAGCAGGGACGAAGCGUAAGUGACGGUACCUGCAGAAGAAGCACCGGCUAACUAUGUG
rnacentral:rRNA from 1 species